AGGCUCACUGAAUCAGAACCUGCGUUUUAACAAGAUCCUCUGGAAAUCGAUGUGUACCUUAAAAUUUGAGAAACGCGGCUCCAAAGGAAGCAAUGAGUUUCGUAUUCUCAAGUUCUUUUUCUACUAUGCACCAGUAGGCUACUUAACUCACUUUAUCUGCAGCUUGCCUGGGCUAUUUUCCUUCUGCUGCCUGAGCAAAUUAACAUGAACUUAGAAGCUUGAAACAACACCCCUUUAUUGUCUCACAGUAGCCGGACAGACUCAAUUGGGUCCUCCUCUGAGGGUGUCACAGACCCAAAUCAAGAUGUUGGCUGGGCUCUUUCCUGGAGGCUUCGGGGAAGAAACCACUUUUCAGUUGAUUUCAGCUGUUGGCAGAAUCUGUUCCUGUCAUUGCAGGACCAAGGGAUCUCCAUCUGGCCUGCUGACCGCAGCGUUAUUCACACUUUCCAGACAGCCGUGUGUGACACCUGCUGCUGGAGCUCAGCCUGGCUCCUGCCUCUGGAGGACGACGGUCCGAACUUCUGAUGGGAGAGAACGGAAACCUUCAGAGGAUAGAGAUUUAAGGGUAGGGGCCCUCCUUGCUGUUCCCAGAAUGAAACGCAGACGCUGAUAAAGAAGACGCUGCCUGGAGUCUGAUACACCUCAAGACAGCUGUCCUGAUGCUUCUGGGACCCAUGAAGACCCAGGAGGUCCAGCCUGUGCCUGCGGCGAGUGACUUGUUUCUCAAGUCCUUUGAAGUAGCCUUGUGAAUCAGGAUGAGCGCCUUGACAACAAGCAAACACGCUAAUUCAGGCGAUGGUGGCGAGAUGCCCUCAUACAGCUUUUGGAGACUGUGCUCACGAAAGAUGAAUGACAACUCUUCCUGGUAUUUCUGGCAGCUGUUUUUUUACCAAACUGUGUCCCAAGAAUUCUGUGGAAUAUACUUUGCUUCCUGUGCAGAUAACCAAAAAUAUCAUUAAAAAAAUCAUUUCCACCUCAUUAGUGGGACCUUCAUUUUAUUGGCAAAGUUUUUCAGAAAGCUUUUAAAAUGUGUUUAAACCAUUUAAAUCUGUCAGUCUAGUCCUGAAUCUGUCAUUCUCUAAUGACAUCUCCAAUUGAGUUAUUUUGAUAGUUAUAUACGGUAUUGCUUAGACGGUUAAUAGCCACAUGUAAAGCCAUAACAC
ensembl:lncRNA